rfam:Monosiga brevicollis MX1 MONBRscaffold_6 genomic scaffold, whole genome shotgun sequence.
GUCAGCGUGGCCGAGUGGUUAAGGCGUCUGACUCAAGUUCAGAUACGUUCGCGUGCGCGGGUUCGAGUCCCGUCGCUGACA